rnacentral:lncRNA from 1 species
AAAAUAAGUGUUUUCUAAACGAUGGAGUUAGGGUUAAAAAGUCGGAUCCCGACUGCGAGUCGACUCCACUGAGUCGCGAGUCGACUCGACCUCGAGUCGACUCCAAAAUAUGCGUCCUUAGGCGCCUGUUGACCUCGAGUCGACUCCUUACUGUAUGCGAGUCGACUCCCCCUCUGCUGCCAUUGUUUUCGAGUCGACUCCCGUAAAUGUGCGAGUCGACUCCCCCUUACGAGCCGACUCUGAAACUUACUCGAGUCGUCUCGAACUCUGGCACGCACCUAAAAAUCAUGCUAUGUUCGUGCCGAAUGAGGGAAAAUCACUAAGUUAUGAUC